rnacentral:rRNA from 1 species
GACGAACGCUGGCGGCGUGCUUAACACAUGCCAGUCGAACGGAAGGGCCCUGCUUUUGUGGGGUGCUCGAGUGGCGAACGGGUGAGUAACACGUGAGUAACCUGCCCUUGACUUAGGGAUAACUUCAGGAAACUGGGGCUAAUACCGGAUAGGAGCUCCUGCUGCAUGGUGGGGGUUGGAAAGUUUCGGCGGUUGGGGAUGGACUCGCGGCUUAUCAGCUUGUUGGUGGGGUAGUGGCUUACCAAGGCUUUGACGGGUAGCCGGCCUGAGAGGGUGACCGGCCACAUUGGGACUGAGAUACGGCCCAGACUCCUACGGGAGGCAGCAGUGGGGAAUAUUGCACAAUGGGCGGAAGCCUGAUGCAGCAACGCCGCGUGCGGGAUGACGGCCUUCGGGUUGUAAACCGCUUUCGCCUGUGACGAAGCGUGAGUGACGGUAAUGGGUAAAGAAGCACCGGCUAACUACGUG